rnacentral:rRNA from 1 species
GAUGAACGCUAGCGGCAGGCUUAACACAUGCAAGUCGAGGGGUAUAGGUUUUCGGACCUAGAGACCGGCGCACGGGUGCGUAACGCGUAUGCAAUCUACCUUUCACAGAGGGAUAGCCCAGAGAAAUUUGGAUUAAUACCUCAUAGUAUAGCAGUUUCGCAUGAAACCACUAUUAAAGUUCCAACGGUGAAAGAUGAGCAUGCGUCCCAUUAGCUAGAUGGUAAGGUAACGGCUUACCAUGGCUACGAUGGGUAGGGGUCCUGAGAGGGAGAUCCCCCACAAUGGUACUGAGACACGGACCAGACUCCUGCGGGAGGCAGCAGUGAUGAAUAGUGGUCAAUGGACGCAAGUCUGAACCAGCCAUGCCGCGUGCAGGAUGACGGUCCUAUGGAUUGUAAACUGCUUUUGUACGAGAAGAAACAACAUUACGUGUAAUGUCUUGACGGUAUCGUAAGAAUAAGGAUCGGCUAACUCCGUGCCAGCAGCCGCUGUAACAC